UCGAGCUCCCGGGCUGGCAAUUGGCAUGCACUGCAGUGCAGAAACAGGUACAGUGAAAUCAAUUAUGCAGGUUCUUGAAGGAAAAAAAUCAUGGAUGACAACAAUGUAUGAUUUACCAGACCAAGGGAUACCAAUGUUUUUUGAUGGUACUUGCUCCAUCUACUCAGCUUACUGUGAGAG